UUCCCUGCAGUGGCAAGGCCCGGCAGCCUGGAUCUGCCCAGCCCUGUGUCCCUGUCAGAAUUUGGGAUGAUGUUCCCAAUACUGGGUCCUCGAAGUGAAUGCAGCGGGGCCUCCUCCCCUGAAUGUGAGGUGGAACGAGGUAGGUUGCAGCUCAGCUUGUGCACUGUCCGUGCCUUUGCCAGGUCUCCCUGUGCUAGAUCUCAGGGGCCCAGGGGUGCAUUGCUGAUCUCUGAGGACAGCCUGUGGAAUAGAUCACUCAGAUUGCUUUCAAGGGCUCUUCUGGGGUCCCUGGCUCUGCCUGGCCAGCCUCAAUCGAGCAGAACUUAGGCCCCAUCUCCCUCCUAAGAGCAGUCCUCUUACUGCAAGUUCCCGCUGGAGAGGUUUGCUU
rnacentral:lncRNA from 1 species